rnacentral:rRNA from 1 species
CAGUCGAACGAGCGAGAGAGAGCUUGCUUUCUCAAGCGAGUGGCGAACGGGUGAGUAACGCGUGAGGAACCUGCCUCAAAGAGGGGGACAACAGUUGGAAACGACUGCUAAUACCGCAUAAGCCCACAGGUCGGCAUCGACCAGAGGGAAAAGGAGCAAUCCGCUUUGAGAUGGCCUCGCGUCCGAUUAGCUAGUUGGUGAGGUAACGGCCCACCAAGGCGACGAUCGGUAGCCGGACUGAGAGGUUGAACGGCCACAUUGGGACUGAGACACGGCCCAGACUCCUACGGGAGGCAGCAGUGGGGAAUAUUGCACAAUGGGGGAAACCCUGAUGCAGCGACGCCGCGUGGAGGAAGAAGGUCUUCGGAUUGUAAACUCCUGUUGUUGAGGAAGAUAAUGACGGUACUCAACAAGGAAGUGACGGCUAACUACGUGCCAGCAGCCGCGGUAAAACGUAGGUCACAAGCGUUGUCCGGAAUUACUGGGUGUAAAGGGAGCGCAGGCGGGAAGACAAGUUGGAAGUGAAAUCUAUGGGCUCAACCCAUAAACUGCUUUCAAAACUGUUUUUCUUGAGUAGUGCAGAGGUAGGCGGAAUUCCCGGUGUAGCGGUGGAAUGCGUAGAUAUCGGGAGGAACACCAGUGGCGAAGGCGGCCUACUGGGCACCAACUGACGCUGAGGCUCGAAAGUGUGGGUAGCAAACAGGAUUAGAUACCCUGGUAGUCCACACCGUANACGAUGAUUACUAGGUGUUGGAGGNUUGACCCCUUCAGUGCCGCAGUUAACACAAUAAGUAAUCCACC